UGUCGCUGUAGCUCCGUCAUAAACUCGCCGUUGAAGUUGCAAACUUAGCUUAGUGCUGGAUAAAUGUUUAAGCAGUUUUAUUCAUUGUUUGGUUGUGAUGGACAGUUGCCAAAUUUUUACCGUUCGUGCGAAAUGUUGUGAUGUUUCUCGAUAUCCCAAUCAUAGCACCUGUGUUAUUCCUGGGCAUCGCAUUCUCCAAGUCCCAACACGUGGUUGGAUCAAAGCAGUAAAGUCAAAGAAAUGAAUAAAUGAUAACUCAAAAGCCCAGGGUGUACAGAACACGCAGGUAGAAGAAAUGUGGAUGGAUGGAUUAUUUUGCCUGCCUUGGAUUUUCGUGGAUUUUCAAUCUUUGUGCUAAAAGCAAGAGGCCUGAAGUCGUGAAGUGUUUCACCUGUGUUAGUGCCAGUCUCUAUGCUGGAAAAGAAUUGGUUGAUGUCAGAAAAUUUGCUUCGAUAUGUCUUUGCCAAGCCAAUGUUACUGAAAAAAUACAGCAAGUCUUUAGCCUUGGAAAUGCAGUGUAUUAAUACUGUCUAUGAAGCGGCUACAUAGUAGGCUUUAACAGAUUUGAAAGGGUAUCCAUACUUACCAGUGCAGAAUAGAUCGGAUUGAACCAAUUCCACAGCUUUUAUUCGCUUUUAUUAAGUUGUCUGCUGCCUUUUUGAAUCUCCUUGUUAAGUUCAGACUUAGAAUGGUCACACUCUUAUUUUGAGGUUAAUCUUGCGCCGCUAUUCCAUGGAUUGAAUCCAUUGGUGGAAACUGACGAGAGAUCAGCAUCACCAUUUUUAAAGAGGGUUAUGGCCCAUGUCCAUUCGUUCCCAAGUUAAAAGCUAGCAAGCAACCACCAACCUUGGUCGAGUCACGAAAAAAGCCAGACAGCCGGCCCGGAAAUAGUCACGCCAAGCCCAAUAAAUAGCUAGCAAGCAAGCACUGUCGUCGGUCGUGCCAAGAACAAAAAGUAGCAAACAAACAACUAUACCAUUGCUGGACGUGACUGUCGUACGAAAUGCCACCUGCGCGUUUCCGUGUCGUAUUUUCCUUCCCUUCACGCGUUUUCAAACAACUCUUCUUUCUUCUAAAAGCAGGAAAGUGAGUAGUUCAAAAAUCCGAAAUACAGACCAGCUGGGAUUUUCUAUAAUCAUCAGAAUUUGAUGGCAGUUAACAUCAUAUGACGAAUGGCCUUGUGGACUAAUCCAGUGGAAGCCGAUGAACGAUUCCACCCCCUGCUUCGUCUAUGAUUCAGUAAACCAAGUUCGGACUGGCCCAGUGGAGUGAGACGGCUACAAGUAGUAAUACUUGGGGAAGUUACCCGGCCAUUUACGUCACAUCGGAUUACAACAUCACCGCGAUGACUCCGACGCAGUUAAAUUGCCGGAAUGGUCACCGGAUAUCCCAUCCAUCUGGUUAAAUUCUACAAAACUAUUUGUUGCUAUUCCAUUCGUUCAGUUGUGUUCGGUUUUACAGGAGGCUAAAUCUUCAUUAGAGUGGUCCUAGUUCACCCCCCAGUCAAUCGGGUUAGACAAAUUGACCUGCAGCCGGUCUUAUCGCAUUUCCGACUUGGACAUUGGUGCAACGUACAAGUAGG